rnacentral:rRNA from 1 species
AUGCGGUUACAGGAAGGAAAAACAACACAGCAGCGGACGGCAGACACAAGCACUAACAGACUGCAUGAAGGAGAACUAAACAUCAGCAACAGUUUGAACACUCUUGGGGGCCUGCUUCUUCUUUCCAGCCUUGACGUGCUUGGCAAGGGCUUCAAUCGCCUGGAUCACCGGCGCGGCCAUGGGCUUGUUGAACAGAGCCGCAUAGGCGUUCUUCACGCCCUCGUUCAUCACCUCGUCAGGCCCAAGCAGGCCGCAAGCCCGGGCCAGCAGCUCCUGCACCACCGAGCUGCCCUGGAGGCACUGCUUGGUCUUCUUUUGCGCCAAACGACCACUUCUCCGAGGCGAGGACAGAUUGAUGCCCUUGGCCCUGGGCGGCUUUUGCACCGGAGUCGGCAGCAGGGGGGCCGGCGGGGUGCCGACGACCGUGCCCAGGAACAAGUCCAGAGCCCCCAAGGUAGGCAGGGCAGCAUCUCCACAGGUAACAUCAGUGCCCAGCGCCGUGGCCGCAACCCUGGGGAAAGGUCCCAGCAGCGCGGAAGCAGGCAGGGGCGUAGACUCCGGGGUACGGACGGGGGACGCAGGGGUGCAGGGGGGGCCACCGUGGCCUGGACGGGGGUGGUUGGGGUGGCGCACUGCACGAUCGCUGCCGGCAAGGGGCGGUCAGGGGACACGCAGAUGGCCGCAGCAACAGGGCGAGACGAGGAUGGCCCGUGCGUGGCCGAGCCAAACUCCGGAGGGGGGAGCCGAGGGAGAGUGCCCCCAGCCCGCAGGCCAGCCCCGCGCCCACGUCGGAAUCGUCCCAGGCUUCAGUCCCAACCGACAAAGGCGCCACAGCCCCGAGCAUCAUGGGAGGGCCGGAGGGGGAGCCGCGCAGGGCCUUCCCAGGAGGGGCGGGUGACGCGGCCGGCACGGCCGGCGGAGCGAGCAGACAGCGGAGGUCAGCCGCAUCCUACAACAUAG